rnacentral:rRNA from 2 species
CCUGGCGGCCAUAGCGCGGUGGACCCACCUGAUCCCAUGCCGAACUCAGAAGUGAAACGCCGUAGCGCCGAUGGUAGUGUGGGGUCUCCCCAUGCGAGAGUAGGACACUGCCAGGC